AUAGCGUAUAUUAAAGUUGUUGCAGUUAAAAAGCUCGUAGUUGAACUUCUGUCUAGCUUUAUUUCGACUCGUCGAGUAAAGCUGGACAUACGUCUGCAAACUAAAAUCGGCCUUUACUGGUUCGACUUAGGGAGUAGACAUUUUACUGUGAAAAAAUUAGAGUGUUUAAGGCAGGUACUAGCCUGAAUACAUUAGCAUGGAAUAAUGGAAUAGGACUAAGUCCAUUUUAUUGGUUCUUGGAUUUGGUAAUGAUUAAUAGGGACAGUUGGGGGCAUUAGUAUUUAAUAGUCAGAGGUGAAAUUCUUGGAUUGACUCAAGACCAACUAUUG
rnacentral:rRNA from 1 species